UACGUAGGGGGCAAGCGUUGUCCGGAAUCAUUGGGCGUAAAGAGCGUGUAGGCGGCCUGUUAAGUCGGACGUGAAAUCCCCGGGCUCAACCCGGGAACUGCGUCCGAUACUGGCAGGCUUGAAUCCGGGAGAGGGAUGUGGAAUUCCAGGUGUAGCGGUGAAAUGCGCAGAUAUCGGGAAGAACACCCGUGGCGAAGGCGGCACUCUGGGACGGUACUGACGCUGAGACGCGAAAGCGUGGGGAGCGAACAGG
rnacentral:rRNA from 1 species